UGGAAGAGGACCUCAGAGGGGUGAGAGGGCUCGGUUGGAUCAGGGUGAAGUAGUGAGGAGAGGACAAUUCCAGAAAGAAGGAGCAAAGGCACCUGCCAGGAGGAAGCCUAGGAUUCGAUGGGAAGUGGGGAUUUCUGGCCAGGUGGGCAGAGCCAGGACAUGGGGCAUUCUGAUCCCUGGUUGAGGAGUUGUGCUUUGAUGCCACACAGAAGGGGUGUCAUCAUGACAAUAGAGGAACAGUGGGGAAGGGCCUGGGUGCAGCAGGGCGUUCUGAGGGCCCUAGAGCUUGGCUGGAGGUGUCCAGGCAGGAAGCACUGAGGCUGGGUCACAGACAAGGCAGGAUGGAGCCUGGAGCUGGAGACUUCUCAGAGGCUGAGCCCAGCGUCUGGGAACCAGUGGGACUCAGGGGCCACUGCAGAAUGGCCUCUGCAGUGGCCACCCUGCAGAGCAGAAUGGCUCACCCUGGGUGAGCUGCAGGGCGUGCACCCGGGCUGCUCCCAGGCUCGUCCACGCUCUGCCCAAAUGACCAAGUCCACUUCUCCGGGUGGGAGACGUGUGGGGUUCUCUGGCUCUCCACCAUGGUCCUGUGGUGACUGAGCCGCCGGCUCUCCUGCAGCAGGAGGUCUGCGCAGGCCAGUAUGGGCCGGGCAUGGCGGAGCUGGAGGAACAGAUCGCGGAGCUCAACAUCCUGCAGAACGAGAUCAACGACCAAGGAGAGCAGCUGCGGAGCCUGGUGGGGCCCGCCCCGUGGGUGAGCCGGGAGGAUGUUACAUCCGGGGCCAGCCCCAGCCCCUGUUUUUCCAGUCAGAGCCGGAGCUAGAUCGGCUGGGCCCUGGGGAUAGGGGUGGGUGGGGUAUGGCUUGCCCAGAUCUUAGGGGGCCGUCUCCCUGCGCCCCACCUCUCACGGGCUUGUUUCUCCCCUUGGUCAAGGCAGGAUGCCGCCACCAUCCGGAGCCAAUACCGAGACCUACUGGUGAGCAGGAGGGAGGGUCGGGCAGGGUGGCUGCAGGUGGGCCUGGGUGGCCGCCCGGACCCUGCCCGGGGCCAGUGUUCCUGAGCGCGGCCCAAUGGCGCCUUUUGCCCCCCACUUUCUCUCUCCCCACCCUGCUGCUGGCGGCGGGUCCUGAGCACAGAGGGCGGCGUCGUGGCGCGGGCAGAGCCUGGGCAGCCUGUACACGCACUGCAGGGCUGCACGUGGCAGCUGAGCGCCCUGGCGGAGCAGCAGUGCCGCAUCCUGCAGCAGGACUGGAGCGACCUCAUGGCCGACCUGCGGGCGUGCGGCGGGAAUACGAGGUCGGCUGGCAGAGGUUGGGGCCAGGCGGGGGCGGCCAGGGCCAUUCUGGUCCUCACCCGCCGCUCCCCACCCGACUCGCCCCCAGCACUCAAGCAGCACGAGCUGCUGAGCCAGGAGCAGAGCGUAAACCAGCUGGAGGACGACGGCAAGCGCAUGGUGGAGCUGCGGCACCCCGCGGUGGGGCCCAUCCAGGCCCACCAGGAGGCCCUGAAGAUGGAGUGGCAGAACUUCCUGAACCUGUGCAUCUGCCAGGAGACCCAGCUGCAGCACGUGGAGGACUACAGCCGGUGAGCCCUCGGGCAGGCGGCAGGGGCGGCAGGGGCGGGAGGUCCCACAGCACUCCUGCCCACAGGAGAGGCACUGCACCUCUCAACUAGACAGAGCUGGCAGGGCGCAGUGGCUCACACCUGUAAUCCCAGCACUUUGGGAGGCCGAGGCUGGCGGAUCACUUGAGGUCAGGAGUUCGAGAUCAGCCUGGCCAACAUGGUGAAACCCUGUCUCUACUAAAAAUACCAAAAUUAGCCAGACGUGGUGGCGCACGCCUGUAAUCCCAGCUGCUCAGGAGGCUGAGGCAGGAGAAUCGCUUGAACCCAGGAUGUGGAGGUUGCAGUGGGCCGAGAUUGGUCCACUGCAUUCUAGCCUGGGUGACAAAGAGAGACUCUACCUCAAAAAUAAAAUAAAAUAGAGCUGUGUGGUUGCCACUCGGUCCCAGAGGGAAGGAAAGGCAUGGGCACAUUCUCAACAGGGUGAAGCGGUUCCCAGGGGGGUGAAAAUUGGUUCUUAAUGGCAGAAAAAUAACUCUUCUUAUGCAUGAAGUACAGAUCCACAUACAGCACCUAAGCUGUAUACAGCAUAUCUGUGGUAUAAAACUUUCGUGGGGGCCAGGUGUGGUGGCUCACACCUGUCAUUCCAGCACUUUGGGAGGCUGAGCCAGGAGAAUUGCUUGACCCCAGUAGUUCCAGACCAGCCUGGGCAACAUAGUGAGACCCUGUCUCUAUACAAACAGAUAAAUCUCUAUCAAAAUAAAUAAGUAAAUAAAAUUUUAUGGGGAUGAGGUGGGGGAAAAUAAAGAAAAGAUUUCUUAAAAGGCUCUUUAGGAGAAUAAUAAUGAAAAAAAACGGUUGAGAAACCCUGAUAUAAUAUACAACUGGGAUUUGGGGGCAGAUAAUGUUUCAUACAUUUUCCUAUAGAACCACAAACUAUGAUCACACACUGACAAAAAUUCCGUAAAAACACUUGGAAUGCUUCUUUAAAGCAUAGCUUCU
ensembl:lincRNA